UUUAUGGCUGCGAGUGACGGGAAGUUGAUGAACUCCGCCAGGCCAGGAAUGGAGCAACGGUAGUUGACGGAUCGGGUGCUCGCAGCCACCUUUUU
rnacentral:SRP_RNA from 1 species